rnacentral:lncRNA from 1 species
AACAAUAAAAUCCCUGCAAUUGCAUUGCAGGAAAGAACUCCCAACUAUGACAAACCAGAAAACUUGCUACAGAAGCCUACAUCCUAUUCAUUCAUAAAGACAUAAAUAACUAGUACAAGUACAACCAAAUAGCUAGAAUGUAUGAUAUUAUACUUUUUGUGGUGAAUAAACAACAGAAAAAACAAAACCAAGAUCUCGUAAAUAUCCCCCAUAUGGCUACAUGACAAAGGUAUCCAUAGUUAACCUAGAACAAAUCCGAAUUCCACCAUAUAUUUAAAUCUUAAUUUUCUUAACAAAGUGCAUCUCCUCAAUGCAAUUACAUGCAUGCACCAAUAACUCUGGCUUAGCCUGCACCUUCAAAUUUAUAUGCAUAAACACCCUGUGUUACAUUCAAUGUUUUUAUUUUCAAAACUGAUGAACACCACCGGUCCCCCCAACAAAAAAAAAAAACCAGCUUUCCCCAAAUUGUCAAUCCACCAUCAAUAUUCAACCCCUGAAUUUUAUUUUAUUUUUUAUUGGCUUCGAUACCUUUGAAUUAAUCGAUCAAAAUUCUUAACCAAGUCAAAAAAGUUUCAUGCAUUUAGAUGAAAAAUCUUCCCACCCCACUUCGCCGGCAAUCAGAUAAGAGAUUCACAAUAAGUCCCAAAAAGAACACGAUUUUAGACACGAAUCAAUUCAUAAAAAAGCACUUUCCCGAUUUCCCCAAACACAAUUGACCUAAACAGGUCAAUGGAUCUGCAACCAAGGCCCCUAGAUCUGGUCGACCAAGCCAAACCAAAUUACAUAACACCAACAAUCAUCAAAGCCAAAAACAAAAACCAAAAAACAAGCACGAAGCGAACAAAUUCACAAUCUCAACGCAACAAACCAUCGCAGAUCCAUACAAGUUCCAUGACAAAUAAACAUAAUUCAAAGAAAAACAACCGAUUUCAAAGGGCUCCCUAUUUGGGGAUAAACCGGACUUACUACUCGGGAUUCAUGGCUAAGUGGCGGUGAAACCGAUUACACGGAUAUAGGUAAGGUUAGGGAUGCCGGAGAUUUGUGGUUUUCCGGCGAGGACGUGGCCGGAAUCUGGAUCGUGACGUGUGAGAGAGGGAUGAGAGACGAGAGCAGGAGAGGGCUGAGAGAAAGAGAGAUUUGAAGCGAAAGUCCGAAUUCUAAAAUGACCCGAAAAUGUCGGACUCAUUAAUAGAAAAAGAGGUGGGGAGAGAGGUGACGUAGCCACAAGGAAUUCAUGCUUGCCACGUGUUGCCCACUCUUCUGCAAUUACCAUA